CUUUCUUUGCUGGCGACCGGCGCACGGGUGAGUAACACGUAUCCAACCUGCCCUUUACUCGGGGAUAGCCUUUCGAAAGAAAGAUUAAUACCCGAUAGCAUAAUGAUUCCGCAUGGUUUCAUUAUUAAAGGAUUCCGGUAAAGGAUGGGGAUGCGUUCCAUUAGGUUGUUGGUGAGGUAACGGCUCACCAAGCCUUCGAUGGAUAGGGGUUCUGAGAGGAAGGUCCCCCACAUUGGAACUGAAACACGGUCCAA
rnacentral:rRNA from 1 species